AGAUGCCAUGAAAGGCUGCUCCACGCCGUACUUAGCCCAAGAGCCUUUGUUUAAAGCAAGCUCCUGUCCUCAAGUCGGGGGAAAUCUCUCACAUCCAAGAGGUUAACAAGCCUUGUUCAGUCUUACUAAAAGGAUCGUCUUUGUCACAUGAGAGCUGGACGGAGCCAUCGCCCAUACCUUGUAGCCCAUCGCGCUGUUACCUGGAGCCAAGGAUGUUAGACCAAGAUGUUGCAUGAAUGAAGGACCUGAGUUGUUCUGUGUGCACAUAAAGGCAUCACAUUUGCCAAGGGACACUGUCAUCUCAUUGCCUCCAUCUUCCCGUGCCGUUUGCUUCCCUCUCUCCUCGUACUAAGCUGGAUCUGUGUCCUUUUCUUUUUAACGAGUUCAAGUGAAGGAAAACUUUAUUUGUCCCCCCUUCCUCUCUUUUUCUUAAAGCUUCUGCUAGAUGCACAGUUCACUGAAAAUUCAGUCAGUCACAAACUGGAAGAAUUGUAAAAGAAAAAAAAGUAUAUAUCACUAAGUACACACGUGGCUUCACAUCUAUUAAAUAAUAAAUUGGCAUGGAAGGAAGGUGUCAUUUCACCCGUGUAUCCACAGUCUUAAGCAAGCGCCCAUCUUCAUCU
rnacentral:lncRNA from 1 species